GAUGAACGCUAGCGGCAGGCCUAACACAUGCAAGUCGAGGGAGAAGCCCUUCGGGGCAGAAACCGGCGCACGGGUGCGUAACGCGUAUGCAACCUACCUUUCACAGGGGGAUAGCCCGAAGAAAUUUGGAUAAAUACCCCAUAAUAUUAUUGGAUGGCAUCAUUUGAUAAUUAAAAUUACGAUGGUGGAAGAUGGGCAUGCGUCCUAUUAGCUAGUUGGAGUGGUAACGGCACCCCAAGGCUACGAUAGGUAGGGGUCCUGAGAGGGAGAUCCCCCACACUGGUACUGAGACAGGGACCAGACUCCUACGGGAGGCAGCAGUGAGGAAUAUUGGUCAAUGGUCGGAAGACUGAACCAGCCAUGCCGCGUGCAGGAAGAAUGCCUUAUGGGUUGUAAACUGCUUUUAUAUGGGAAGAAUAAGGAGC
rnacentral:rRNA from 1 species